UUGUACGGAUGCUUACUUUUUCUUUACAAAUAGGCUACUUUCAUUACUUAAAUUUGUGAUUUUUCAAUUACAGAAGAGUAACAUUUCCGUUGUGCCAAAGCUCAUCUACUGAUUUACUCAUGCACCCACCCUGCAAAAAGAGUGGGACAAUUUGGACACUGCAUUGUAUUUGUACUGCAUUUCAUUGGGUAGAGUUGCUCAAAAGAAAGUUAAAGCCUAACAGGCCAUUCCAUCAGUCCCCUCCAUCAAAUAAAAUACUAUUACAAUUUCUUUGCAACAAUUAUUGGUUACUAGCUUUUGCCUUUUUUUUUUUACUCUUUUUCUUUACCCCUUUCUUCUAUACCAAGUAUUUCAUUAUUGAUGCUUGCAUAGCAAAAAAUAAUUAUAAGGCGGCUACUUUCUGAGUUUUUUUUUUCAAUUUACUAUUCAAUAACUUGGUGUGAUGGCAAGUGCCUUCGUCCAUGAGCGGUAGGUCUUGGUUCGAGACUUGGGAGCAGCCUCUCCAUAAAAUGGGGGUAAGGCUAGCCAACAUUCACCUCUCUCAGACCCUGCGUAAAGCGGGAGCCUUGUGCACUGGGUACGACCUUUUUUUACUAUUCAUUAACUACGUAGCGAUGAAAUUAACAACUAGUCUAAAUUAGAAUUGGUCCAAGGAGAUGUGAGUUGUUUUAAUUAUAGUAAAUUAGAAAGAAACAUAAUACGUCGACAACCAGAGGUCAUGAAAAAAUCAUUUCAAGAGCUCAAUUAGAGAAAAAUGUUGAAUAAUGAGUCUCACAUCAGAAAUAUGAAUAAGUGACAUACACUUUAUCAUUCAAACUUUAAAGAGCAUCUCAAAUUGGCGAAUUCUAACGUGAAUAGUAAUUUUUGACUUGAAAAGUACUUUUAUAGUUUUUUAAAUCCGUUUUCAGUUUCAGAUAUCUUUAAGGUAAAGAAACAACGAGACAAAGAAACUGAUCGCAUUGCCGCGACCCAUGAUGGAUUUCUAGUAUUUGAGGUCGUUUAUGGAUCAAAAAUAUAUUUCAACCGUUUUAGCUAUUCUUAUACUUUGUCAUUUUAUUGAUGUUUGCUAUUAGGGUUUCGUGGAAUAUACUUUCCCAUUCGAUGUCAUUUUUCUGUUUAAGAUACUUUCUCGAAAAUGAAACGGCGAGAUGGAUCAAGCUCAUGGCCUGGCCACAACCUAAGAUGGAUUUCGAGCGUUUGGAGUAGUUUAAUAGGUCAAAAACAGAUUUGAACUAUUUCGGCUAAUCUUGUUUUUUUCUUCUUCCCGUUUUAUUUCUUUUUGUUAUUAAGUUUCGUGAAACUUUAUACUCUAUUUUUGGGGUCUUAUUUCAAUCAUAUCUUUUCAUUCCAUUAUCAAUAAAGUUGAGAGCUUCUCUUAAUUCUCUAGUGUUCCGAAACUUAAUCCAAUUGCGACCAUUUGGGAUCUCUUUAUCUAUAACUUUCUUCAUGUCAAUUAUUUUGAUCAUAAAGAAAUUGAUUUUUCUCUCUUAAUUAUUAAAUUUGAAUUAUUUUUUUCCCCUAAAAGUUUGAUGUUAUCAAAAGCUUACAUGUGAAAAACUUUUUUAAUUAUUAGCACACAUAGUUGAUAAUAUAUAAUGUGAAUGAUAUUUGUUUAGUGACGUUUUGUUUUUAAUUUUAUUAAGAAGGUCGUAAAUUGAAUUUACAUACAAAAAUAGUAACGUAUAAUAAGAACAUGUUGAUUGACAUUCACAUGUACAUUCUCCAUAGUCUCUUCAAGCUGGUGAAUCUGUUUGAUUGUGGCAACAUGCAGGGUGAAAUUCCUCAUAGCCUCUUUGGGCUCGGAAAGGGUGGAUAACAUUGACUUACCACCAGUUGUCUUCUUUUAUCACAAGAAAAAAAAUGUAACGCUUUAGUAGGAUCUUAUACCAUACCUUUUAAGAACAUAUGAUACACCCCGACCCGGGAUGUCCA
rnacentral:lncRNA from 1 species